rnacentral:lncRNA from 1 species
GUAGCUUUUGAAAUACCUGAGAAAUAGGAACGGCCUUUGAACUUUCUCAAAUGAAUUAAGCUCUGGAGAAGAAGUAGUUUCUGGAGGUCUGUACCAUAAUGACCGAUAUGCCCAAGUGUGUACAGACCAAAGAGGUGGUACUUCCAUCAAGCAACCAAAUUUGAGACUGAGAUGCCUUCACAGAUUUUUACUCACUGGCUUCUAGAAGGGAUUCUUUGAUGGAGGAGAAGAGCAUCUCAGAAGGUGGAGGUUGAAUACAGGCAUGUAGAAUUUGGGAGUUCAGUCCCCAGUACAGCCAUACAGAGGGUCCAGGGAGCAGCUUAUGGAUGGAAAACUGAGAAUGGUACUUUGACUGCUCUGAUUUGUUUCAUCAAGCAAAUCAACCUGUUCCCAAACUUGUAUGUAUAGGAAAAUUG